AUGGGGGCCUAUCCCAGAGGUUUCACCCCACCAGAGGGCUCCGGCAGGGAGACCCCCUCUCCCCAUACUUUUUUUUUGUUCUGCGUAGAGGGCUUCUUUGCGUUGUUGAAGAAUGCUCAGAGGGAGAGGAACAUCAAGGGGGUGUCCUUUGGGAGCGGCGGACCAACUAUCACACAUCUUCUUUUUGCUGAUCAUAGUGUGGUCUUGGUGGAGGGCUCACGGGACUUUGAGGCACUACGCUCCAUUUGGCAGGAUUAUGAGGCUACCUCGGGCCAAAAAGUUAACCUUCAAAAAUCAGCGAUUUUCUUUGGCAAAGGUACUCCGGAUGAUGAUAAAAAUGAGCUCAAACAGGUGCUUGAAAUAACGGAGGAGGCCCUGAGUGAGCAGUAUUUGGGACUCCCUACGGUGGUUGGGAGGUCUAAGGAUGGGACGUUCAAGUACGUCAAGGAGAGUGUGAAAAGAAAAGUG
rnacentral:rRNA from 1 species